rnacentral:rRNA from 1 species
UACGAAGGGGGCUAGCGUUGCUCGGAAUCACUGGGCGUAAAGGGUGCGUAGGCGGGUCUUUAAGUCAGGGGUGAAAUCCCAGGGCUCAACCCUGGAACUGCCUUUCAUACUGGCGAUCUAGAGUCCGGAAGAGGUGAGUGGAACUCCUAGUGUAGAGGUGGAAUUCGUAGAUAUUAGGAAGAACACCAGUGGCGAAGGCGGCUCACUGAUCCGGUACUGACGCUGAGGUGCGAAAGCGUGGGGAGCAAACAGG